UACGGAGACUGCGAGCGUUACUCGGAUUCACUGGGCGUAAAGGGUGCGCAGGCGGCUAAUUGUGUCAGGUGUGAAAUCCCGGGGCUUAACUCCGGAACUGCGCCUGAAACUGGUUGGCUAGAGGCUCGGAGAGGUAAGCGGAAUUCCAGGUGUAGCAGUGAAAUGCGUAGAUAUCUGGAGGAACACCAAAGGCGAAGGCAGCUUACUGGAAGAGAUCUGACGCUCAGGCACGAAAGCGUGGGUAGCGAAAGGG
rnacentral:rRNA from 1 species